GACAGAGGAUGCAACCGUUGUUCGGAAUUACUGGGCGUAAAGCGUGUGUAGGCGGUUCUCUAAGUCGGAUGUGAAAUCCCUGGGCUCAACCCAGGAAGUGCACUCGAAACUGGAGGGCUAGAGUAUCGGAGAGGUUGGUGGAAUUCUCGGUGUAGAGGUGAAAUUCGUAGAUAUCGAGAGGAACACCGGUGGCGAAGGCGGCCAACUGGACGAAUACUGACGCUGAGACACGAAAGCGUGGGGAGCAAACAGG
rnacentral:rRNA from 1 species